UGAGGCAGGAACAAAUGGUGAUUUAUUUAACAAAGAAGCAGGGUAAACCAGGAAACAAGUGGGGAAACUAAGUAACCAGGGAUUAAACUAAGGACAACUCACUGAAGGGGAGGGUGACGGUACCGGGAACCGGUGGCCCGGCAGGCGACCUCUGUUCGGGUGCUGGUCGGCAGCGGAGAGCGGGCAGGAGCGUCCCGUUCAGAGGGGUAGGUAGGCAGGAUGGUCCAGAGAGCUGGGGAGCUCAGCAGUAGGAUGUUCUAGAGAGCUGGGGAGCUCAGCAGUAGGAUGUUCUAGAGAGCUGGGGAGCUCAGCAGUAGGAUGUUCUAGAGAGCUGGGGAGCUCAGCAGUAGGAUGUUCUAGAGAGCUGAGGAGCUCAGCAGUAGGAUGUUCUAGAGAGCUGGGGAGCUCAGCAGUAGGAUGUUCUAGAGAGCUGGGGAGCUCAGCAGUAGGAUGUUCUAGAGAGCUGAGGAGCUCAGCAGGUAGGAUGUUCUAGAGAGCUGGGGAGCUCAGCAGUAGGAUGUUCUAGAGAGCUGGGGAGCUCAGCAGUAGGAUGUUCUAGAGAGCUGGGGAGCUCAGCAGUAGGAUGUUCUAGAGAGCUGGGGAGCUCAGCAGUAGGAUGUUCUAGAGAGCUGGGGAGCUCAGCAGUAGGAUGUUCUAGAGAGCUGGGGAGCUCAGCAGUAGGAUGUUCUAGAGAGCUGGGGAGCUCAGCAGUAGGAUGUUCUAGAGAGCUGGAGAGCUCAGCAGGUAGGGAAAUCCAGGGGCAGGUUGGGGAUCCAGGAGCAGGAGGGGGGCAGAAUCCGGAGGGUCUGGUUAGGGAGAUCCGAAGGCUGGUUUCAGGAAGCAGGAUUGGCAGAACCGGGCAGCUGGGACAGCAGAACUGCAGGCAAGAGAACAGAGGUAGAAGGAACAUAUUUCUACUAGAGCAUAAAUGUGCAGGAAGCUAGACAGCAGAGUUU
ensembl:lncRNA